UCUCGUUACUCCCACCAAAUCAAUAUAAGGAAAAUCCCAAUGCGUUUUAUCCAAAUGAAUUCUGGACCUAAUCGUGC
rnacentral:tRNA from 1 species